GCCGAAUUUUUAUAUGAACACAAAUGCAGAUUCGCACAGACUGUCUGAGACCGGAUCGGCGACGAAUCGGGAAAGUUGAACUUGGUUCAACUUUCCCGAUCCGUCGCAGAACAUACUGAGACACAUUUGUUUUUAAAAGCUAAAAAGCUACUAGAAUCUUUAACAAAUGGCGGUGUUUAUAUAUAGUGCGAUGUUUGUUGACGUCCCCAAUUGGUUCUACAAAGGGGGAGUCUUACUGUUUUUUUCUUGUAUCAUGACAGUGUAAAUUACUUCCUUUAAUUUCUUCCAUAUUAAAGUCGACAUUAUUGUUCAAGGCUUUAUAAACAAAACUACAUCUGUGGAAUUGUCUUCUAUACGACAAAGGAUACCACUUCAACAUUGUUAAAGCCUGGCUAUACUAGAAGCAUCGAUUGGUAGAUCCAACACAGUUUUAUUCAGUUAUUUUUUUUUUAGUUUUAUUUUUUUUAUUCAGUUUUGAAUUAAGGCCCUUCGUCUGGCUAGUAACUCCAGACGAAGGACCUUCGCUCGAAACGUCGAAAUUCUCCUUAUAUUUUUCAGGUAGUUGCAUCUCUACCAACGAAAGCUUGUUCAUACGAAAGCGAAUG
rnacentral:lncRNA from 1 species